CGUUCACUAUGGCGUAUUGUUGUGUACCGGGAUGUCGGUCGUUUAGCCGUCAAAAUAAAGAGAAUACAUCAUUUCACAAAUUUCCACAGGACAAAGAACUUCAGAAAAAGUGGAUUGUUAAAAUUCGACGUGACAUAGGACCUAACUUUCAGAUUACAAAGAACACAAGUCUGUGCUCGAAACAUUUCUCUCCGGAAUGUUUUUCAAGAACAUUGACUGGAAUCAGGAAGAUAAAGGAAGGUUCAGUUCCGUCAGUGUUUACCUGGACUCAACGGCCUUACGAAAGGAAAACCUUGCGAUCACAAGGAAAAUGUCAUUUAGAGGAAGAACAUAAGGAAGAUGAAAGUU